rnacentral:rRNA from 1 species
GCAUAACGCGAAGAACCUUACCUGGUCUUGACAUGCAUCUUGUCGCUGGUGAAAGCCAGCUAGGUUAGCAAUAACCGAUUUGCACAGGUGCUGCAUGGCUGUCGUCAGCUCGUGUCGUGAGAUGUUGGGUUAAGUCCCGCAACGAGUGCAACCCCUGUGGUUUGUUGCCACCCGGUUUACCGGAGCACUCGAACCAGACUGCCUCGAUCAACGAGGAGGAAGGUGGGGAUGACGUCAAGUCCGUAUGGCCCUUACGACCAGGGCUGCACACGUACUACAAUGCCCAGCACAAUGUGAACCGAUACCGCGAGGUGGAGGAAAUCAGUAAAACUGGGCUCAGUUCAGAUUGGAGUCUGCAACUCGACUCCAUGAAGUUGGAAUCGCUAGUAAUGGUGCAUCAGCUACGGCACCGUGAAUACGUUCCCGGGUCUUGUACACACCG